rnacentral:rRNA from 1 species
CCUACGGGGGCAGCAGUCGAGAAUCAUUCACAAUGGGGGAAACCCUGAUGGUGCGACGCCGCGUGGGGGAAUGAAGGUCUUCGGAUUGUAAACCCCUGUCAUGUGGGAGCAAAUUAAAAAUAUAGUACCACAACAGGAAGAGACUGCUAACACUGUGCCAGCAGCCCCGGUAAUACAGAGGUCUCAAGCGUUGUUCGGAAUCACUGGGCGUAAAGGGUGCGUAGGCUGUUUCGUAAGUCGUGUGUGAAAGGCGCGGGCUCAACCCGCGGACGGCCCAUGAUACUGCGAGACUAGAGUGAGGGAGGGGGAACCGGAAUUCGCGGUGUAGCAGUGAAAUGCGUAGAUAUCGCGAGGAACACUCGUGGCGAAGGCGGGUUACUGGACGGUAACUGACGCUGAGGCACGAAGGCCAGGGGAGCGAAAGGGAUUAGAUACCCCUGUAGUC